AUUGAACGCUGGCGGCAGGCUUAACACAUGCAAGUCGAGCGGGGGAAGGUAGCUUGCUACCGGACCUAGCGGCGGACGGGUGAGUAAUGCUUGGGAAUCUGCCUAUUAGUGGGGGACAACAUCUCGAAAGGGAUGCUAAUACCGCAUACGUCCUACGGGAGAAAGCAGGGGAUCUUCGGACCUUGCGCUAAUAGAUGAGCCUAAGUCGGAUUAGCUAGUUGGUGGGGUAAAGGCCUACCAAGGCGACGAUCUGUAGCGGGUCUGAGAGGAUGAUCCGCCACACUGGGACUGGGACACGGCCCAGGCUCCUACGGGAGGCAGCAGUGGGGAAUAUUGGACAAUGGGGGGAACCCUGAUCCAGCCAUGCCGCGUUUGUGAAGAAGGCCUUAUGGUUGUAAAGCACUUUAAGCGAGGAGGAGGCUACUCUAGUUAAUACCUGGGGAUAGUGGACGUUACUCGCAGAAUAAGCACCGGCUAACUCUGUGCCAGCCGCCGCCGUAA
rnacentral:rRNA from 1 species